rnacentral:rRNA from 1 species
AUUGAACGCUGGCGGCAGGCCUAACACAUGCAAGUCGAGCGGAGCGGCGGACGGGUGAGUAAGGCCUAGGAAUCUGCCUGGUAGUGGGGGAUAACGUCCGGAAACGGGCGCUAAUACCGCAUACUAGCAGAUGAGCAUAGGUCGGAUUAGCUAGUUGGUGGGGUAAAGGCCUACCAAGGCGACGAUCCGUAACGGGUCUGCGAGGAUGACCAGCCACACUGGAACUGAGACACGGUCCAGACUCCUACGGGAGGCAGCAGUGGAGAAUAUUGCACAAUGGGAGCAAGCCUGAUGCAGCCAUGCCGCGUGUAGGAAGAAGGCCUUCGGGUUGUAAAGUACUUUCAGCUGGGAGGCGUUACCCGCAGAAGAAGCACCGGCUAACUCCGUGCCAGCAGCCGCGGUAAUAC